rnacentral:lncRNA from 1 species
GAGGUUCUAGCGGAAGGGCGGUGUUCCGUCGGAAAUGAGGAUGUUGGUGGCUGGAGGCAAAGAUGAAAGUUUUCUCUUUUUUUUUCCAACAGAGAGAGUAUGCUCCUGGUAUCUCGUGGAGGGCACCCUUUUUUUGUUUUUCCUUUCUUUUUUUAGAGUCUCUCAGUGGUGAUGGUGUUCCAGCUAGUGAGAGAAGAGAAUUAACAUUUUUUAUUUUCCUUUUUUCAUUUCUUUGUCCUCUCGCGAGUAGAGAGACGUUGGAGGAUUAGUGUGUGG